rnacentral:rRNA from 1 species
ACGGCUCAGUAACACGUGGCUAACCUACCCUUAGGACGGGGACAACCCCGGGAAACUGGGGCUAACAUCUGAUAGGUGAGGAGGCCUGGAAUGGUUCCUCCCUGAAAAGGCGUUGAAACCAUGCUUUUCAGCGUCGCCUAAGGAUGGGGCCGCGCCCGAUCAGGUUGUUGGUGGGGUAACGGCUCACCAAGCCAUUAACCGGUACGGGCCGUGAGAGCGGGAGCCCGGAGAUGGGCACUGAGACAAGGGCCCAGGCCCUACGGGGCGCAGCAGUCGCGAAAACUCCGCAAUGCGCGAAAGCGUGACGGGGCUACCCCGAGUGCCGUCCGCUGAGGAUGGCUUUUCCCCGGUGUAAUGAGCCGGGGGAAUAAGGAGAGGGCAAGACUGGUGUCAGCCGCCGCGGUAAUACCAGCUCUCCGAGUGGUAGGGACAAUUAUUGGGCUUAAAGCGUCCGUAGCCGGCUUGGCAAGUCUCCUGUUAAAUUCAGCGACUUAAUCGUUGAGCCGCGGGAGAUACUACUAGGCUAGGAGGCGGGAGAGGCCGACGGUAUUCCCGGGGUAGGGGUGAAAUCCUAUAAUCCCGGGAGGACCACCAGUGGCGAAGGCUGUCGGCUAGAACGCGCUCGACGGUGAGGGACGAAAGCUGGGGGAGCGAACCGGAUUAGAUACCCGGGUAGUCCCAGCCGUAAACGAUGCGGGCUAGGUGUUGAGGUGGCUACGAGCCACUUCAGUGCCGCAGGGAAGCCAUUAAGCCCGCCGCCUGGGGAGUACGGCCGCAAGGCUGAAACUUAAAGGAAUUGGCGGGGGAG